rnacentral:rRNA from 1 species
UGCCUUACACAUCCAAGUCGAACGGCAGCACGGGGGCAACCCUGGUGGCGAGUGGCGAACGGGUGAGUAAUACAUCGGAACGUGUCCUGUAGUGGGGGAUAGCCCGGAGAAAGCCGGAUUAAUACCGCAUACGCUCUACGGAGGAAAGGGGGGGAUCUUAGGACCUCCCGCUACAGGGGCGGCCGAUGGCAGAUUAGCUAGUUGGUGGGGUAAAGGCCUACCAAGGCGACGAUCUGUAGCUGGUCUGAGAGGACGACCAGCCCCCUUGGGACUGAGACACGGCCCAGACUCCUACGGGAGGCAGCAGUGGGGAAUUUUGGACAAUGGGGGCAACCCUGAUCCUUCUAUCCCGCGUGUGUGAAGAAGGCCUUCGGGUUGUAACGCUC